UAGUCAUCUCAGCUCUUAUCACCAUUGUGUCUGAAUGUCUGAUGAUGAAUGCUGCAGCCCUCCCAGGCUUCUCCAAGACCUCUUUAUGCAGUAUGUGAGGUGGUGGUGUGUCAAAUGGUGCAACAUGGAUGCAGAAGGGCUAAGGCAGCCCUAAAGCAGGCAGCAGGCAUUCUUCUGGCACAGGGCUCCUGCAAUGGAUAAUCAGAAAUACUCAUGGGAAAAGUAGCUGGGGAAUCCAAUGGAUAUGUGACUCAUAGAAACAUCAAGGAUGAAUGGAAAGGAAAAUAACCUAGUUUCUCACACUGCUUUGUGACUUGUCACAGAAGAUGAAGUGGCAAAUCCUCAUAGAAAAGAUUUUCCAAUGUGUCAAAGGUGACAACAGGGACAACCAUCUCUGACCAUAUAAGCUGGUAAGAUGCAGUUCUUUCUGGAAAAUUCUCACCUUCAGGGUAAGGAGGUGAGUAGCCCAACACACAAGCCAGCUCCUGUGUACAAGCGACUGGGGAAAUCUUAAUCGAUAAGCAUAACCUAGAAGGAUAUAUUCCUGCCUCCUAUUUUUCUAUUGCAGUUUUAUUAUUGCAGAUCCAUAUUUUAAUCUGUGUAUGACAAAAUGAAAUGGUUCUUAUGUGUUAUUCCUAUUUUGUAUAGUAAUAAAAUGAUUUGCUAUCACUGGGUAGGCAUUAGGUAUUGUAAGUUCAGUUAUUAUGAUUGCUGGACACCUCUUAGAAUACCAUGCACUGCAAGGAUGGUCAAGAGUGUCCCCAGUCUGUAAAGUAGUGUCCAUUUUUCUGCAAAUGCAUGCUGUAAACUGGUAGGUUUGUCUCUCUGCACUGGAGAGGAGAGUUUUCCAUGUUCUAGAUCUGGAUAUCACUUUGUUUGCAUUGGGAUGCCUCAGCUGGGAUGGGAUGCUUGCCUGCCUCUUACUACCAUUUCCCACCUGAGUUCCAGUGGCUCUCCUUGCAGCCAGGGUCAUGGGCUGACUCUGGGUUGCAGAGAUAUGCUGCAAGACAGAAAAGAUGUUACAUUUUCAGAGAGGAAACACUUUUGCAGCCUUUUUUGUAAUCACUAAAAGAGGUGGGAAGAAAUGCUGGAACUAUGAUCUCCCAUGAUCCUACCACAUGGCACAAUUUCCCUGUGACAAUGGUAAAUUUGACGAUGGUAAAUUUACUGUCGCAUUCUGUUGCAUUGGGGUUUUUGCUUUUGAAUUUUGCUCUGAUUGAGUAAAUAUUCUGAUUCUGUCUGGGCUUGUCAUCCUUCUAGAUUCCCUUGAUUUUUUUUAAACGAACCUCUGUGUUCAGGCAUUGCUCACUGGGCAAAUACUCCUGAAUGCCAGAAUGAAAUAGUCAGCAGUUAGUAACAGCAACAAACAAACUCCAGGCCAAUUUCUGCUCUGAAAAUUAAAAUAUAGCAGCUUUUACUACCAUUUCUUAGUCUCUGCUCCUUUUGUGAUCUUUCUACAGAUACAUGAAAUGUGGUUAAUUAACCUGCCAUCACCUUCUUUUCUGUGAAUCAGUAGUCACGCUAUCUGCUCUGCGUGCUGAAGUUUUUCAGUGAUGUAUGUUCCUCCCUGCACUGACAUUUUAUUUAACCUCUUCAUAAUCUACUAACUUAAUUCAGUUUUGCAUACUUUUUUUCUUGUAUGCUGGUAUUUCUAGUUCUUUCCUGUUCUUUCUAUUCAUUUUGAAGUAGAUAACCCACAUUAGUGUGAGAUGACCCAGUCGGUCAUUCUUUCAGUUUGUUUCUUUGGUGGAACUUGGCCGUGCUUUUCUGGAAGGUAAGGCUUCUCUACCUUUGCAGGUAUAUUUCACAACUGGAAUUCGGAAACUAUAUAUAUUUUCUUGACAGUUUUUCUGUUAUCCUAAAUUUAAUGAAAAAGAAAACUACAAAAGGAGAACAUUUGCAUUUAAUAAAGAAGCUAUGAAAAAAUGAAGCUUGAAAAUGUCGUCUUGUUUGAGACAGCCUUAGGGUAGUGAAAUUAGUAAGUAAAAUUUAGAUAAAACAGAGAAAGAUAGCUACCACUGCAAUGCAGUGAAAUGGAAUUAAGGAGUCUGAGUGAUUCUUUCUUGUAAAGGUCAACAUCAUCGACUGAGUUUUUGUGAACCUAAUAAAUUCUAAGAUAUGCUAUAAAUAGGAGCAUCUCAAGGGCAAUACUUAAGUCAUUCAAUUGAAAAAUGGGACAAAAUAAAUAGUAAAAUGAUAAUGAGAAAUGGCAAAUCAAGUUAAAAUGGUACGUUUAGACCUGACUUUCUUGAUAAUACAAUUUUAAAAUGUUACCACAUCAAUUCCUAUUUAUAAUGCGCUUUGGAAAGAGAUUAACUGACUUUGGAUACAAACUCGGUUUCUACGCAGGUUUUCAGUAAUGCCAACACUGUAUGUAUUUGACUAUUUUUAAAGGCUGUCACAGUAAUGAAAAUCUCCGUUUACAUAUUUAAAAUCUUGUGUGAAUUUUAACCUGUAAAUCAAAUGUUAUAUGAAAAAAGGAACCAAUGUUUUACUGUGUUACAUUCUAGACAGAGUUACAAUGUUUUAUCUAAUUUUUAGCUGAUAAAAGAGUAAUUUAUUAGUAAGGAGGAUAAUUGGUCAGAAGCUUGUGAUAAAUUAUGUCAAACUGUAUUUUUAAAUAAAGAAUUC